GAUGAACGCUGGCGGCGUGCUUAAUACAUGCAAGUCGGGCGAACGGACGAGAAGUUUGCUUUUCUGAUGUUAGCGGCGGACGGGUGAGUAACACGUGGAUCACCCCCUUAUAUGACUGGGAUAACUUCGGGAAACCGGAGCUAAUACCGGAUAAUAUCUUGAACCGCAUGGUUCAAAAGAGAAAGACGGUCUUGCUGUCACUUAUAGAUGGAUUCGCGCUGCAUUAGCUAGUUGGUAAGGUAAAGGCUUACCAAGGGAACGAUGCAUAGCCGACCUGAGAGGGUGAUAGGCCACACGGGAGCGGAGACACGGUCCAGACUCCUACGGGAGGCAGCAGUAGGGAAUCGUCCGCAGUGGGCGAAAACCUGGCGGAACAGCGCGGCGUGGGUGGUAGAGGUGUUGGGUUCGUAAAGCUCGGUUAUUGGGGGAAAGCAUCUGUGUAAGUAGCUGUACACAGCUUGACGGUACCUGAUCAGAAAGCCACGGCUAACUACGUG
rnacentral:rRNA from 1 species